AACUUUGCGCAGUGGCGAUAUCGUAACCAAUGAGGUACAACCGAGGUGCGAUUAUUGCUAGUUGAAAACUUAUUUAGCCACCUUCUCAGCGCACAAGGUAUGCACCGUACAUUGUUUGAGUCAUUGUCACCUUCGUGUGCAG